AUAAUACUCCCUCCAUUCUAAAUUACUUGUCGCAGGUAUGAAUGUAUCUAGAUGUAUUUUAGUUCUAGAUACAUCCAUUUCUGCAACGAGUAAUUUGAAACGGAGGGAGUACUAC
rnacentral:pre_miRNA from 1 species